UUCUGCUGCAACACGUGUCGCUUUCGCCAUAUCGAUUAAUGGGUCAUUAUUUAUUAAGGAAGUUGAAUUAAGUAAAAGUGGAUUGAGGCCGCCGCCGUCAUGACCAUUUCCGGCGAAACGGCUGCUAAAAGAAGAUGUUGCUCGGACUUCUCGGAAGGAGUUUUGAGAUCCCAUUUCUGAGGUUGUUUCACACUCCCCCUUUUCCUGUAUAUGCAGUACAGGAUGAGCUGCAGGAUGCCUAGUGGGCUACCAACAAGAUUCGGAGACUGUAAAACAGACCACAGUUCGAAAAGUUUGUUAUUUAAAUCAGCCAUUUCCCUUACGAAAAAUAGACCUUAUGAUCACACUAACCGCAAGAAAAAGAUCAUGGCUUAAUAGUCCAUACGCCAUCCAAAGGGAGCUUGCUAGAAACGAGAAGAGUGACAGAAAUUCUCCAAAAAGAAAACGAAUUUUCCCAUUAACUAAAGUAGUACUCACCAUAGCCACCAGUGGAGAACCAUACAUUGCUACAGAUGCUACCAGUCCUAUGCUUCCAACGAACGCCUUUCGAUGAUGGUG